rnacentral:rRNA from 1 species
CGUCGUGAGACAGUUCGGUCCCUAUCUGCCGUGGGCGCUGGAGAACUGAGGGGGGCUGCUCCUAGUACGAGAGGACCGGAGUGGACGCAUCACUGGUGUUCGGGUUGUCAUGCCAAUGGCACUGCCCGGUAGCUAAAUGCGGAAGAGAUAAGUGCUGAAAGCAUCUAAGCACGAAACUUGCCCCGAGAUGAGUUCUCCCUGAGACUUAGAGUCUCCUGAAGGAACGUUGAAGACGACGACGUUGAUAGGCCGGGUGUGUAAGCGCAGCGAUGCGUUGAGCUAACCGGUACUAAUGAACCGUGAGGCUUAACCUUACAACGCCGAAGCUGUU